rnacentral:rRNA from 1 species
GACGUAGGGGCCGAGCGUUGUCCGGAGUUAUUGGGCGUAAAGCGCGCGCAGGCGGCUUCGCGCGCCCGACGUGAAAGCCCCCGGCUUAACCGGGGAGAGUCGUUGGGGACGGCGGGGCUUGAGGGCGGGAGAGGUCGGUGGAAUUCCCGGUGUAGUGGUGAAAUGCGUAGAGAUCGGGAGGAACACCUGUGGCGAAGGCGGCCGACUGGGCCGACCCUGACGCUGAGGCGCGAAGGCGUGGGGAGCGAACGGG